CUGAGUAACUACAUAUACUGUACUUUGCCAGAAAAGCCUGGCAGAUCCAACAGAUUUUUACUUUGUAAGACAGAUUUUGCUAUAUUUGUGCUUUUUUUUUCAUCUCCCCCUGAGGAGUAUAAACUCAAAGCAAUCACAAGACACCCAACCUUGCCUGCUGGUACCUUGUAUCUUCUUCAUUCCUUACCGCUUCUCUAGCCAUUUGAAUCAUCUUUUUAAACUGUCUUCUGCUCCUCAGAUGAUAACUCUGUCAUUUGGAAAAGGCUAAACAUGUAAAAGCAUUUUCAUUUCUGUAGCAUUCACUUUCAUUUACUCUCUUCUUUCUAUUCAAGUCAAGCAGCACAGAAUGCUGCAUAAAUAGCAAAGCCUGUACUACAUCCAGUUUUGAAGUAUUUUUAAAAUACAAUAUUGAAAAAAGAAGAGACAAACUGCAAGGAAAAUGCUAAGCUGCUCUUGAGCCUGAUGACGAUGUGCGUAUUUUGUCUUGGUUACCUGAGCAAUCUCCAGAAGCUUGAAUGGAUUACAAUAAUAUUCUAACAAGGCUGCAGGCAUCAGCAACAGCUGUCAUCUUCAGAAGAAGAUAAGAAAUGGAAGAAUGUAAUUAUUUCCAUGUAAGCUAAAUUCCAGUAGCUGACUGCCAUGAUAGGGAAAGCCCUGAAAACUUUGCUGUCUUAAAUGUUUUGAUCUCAUAUAAAACAAAUAGUGCAAAAAUUUGCCAAGGUUUCCUGCAGGGCAACUGAACAUACAAGUGCGGAGAGGUGGAGGUAGGAGAGAGACAGAAACCAUGCCCUCUGGAUCUUCGUCUUUUCAGUGCAGCUACUGCUGAGGCUGUGGUGAAGUCCCUCUGACACCACAUGUCUGGGAAUGAAGAGCUUCUCAGAGCUGAUUGGAAAUGGCAUUGCUGUACUGAAACUUAACUGGAGGAAAUACAUCUUCUGAAGAAGAAAAUAUAAUGCACUUUAAGGAUCUGACUUCUGGUGUAAAAUUCAAGCCUAGAGAAAACUUGCCCGCUUUAUUAAGAAGAAUGGGUUGGACAAUCUUUUUCAGUUCCAAAGGAUAUCUGAACUCCAUGCUGAGCUUAAUCUCUGCAGCAUGCUCUGUGCUUCUCUUCUCCUCCUGAUGCACUGCAUGGUUAGCCUGAGGAGAAGGAUAAAGAAACUGGCUUCCAAGAUGGUAAUCACUAGUGGAAAUGAAGAAGAUAAAGGCAAUCAAGAAAAGGAGAGCAAAGAAGAAACCAUCCUGGCAAUGCUUGGGAUUAUUGGAACAAUUCUGAACCUCAUUGUGAUCAUUUUUGUGUACAUUUACACAACAUUGUGAGCCAGAAGGCACACGAUGAGAACCAAUGAAACGGCUGCUAAAGGUGACAACAAACAUUGUAGGGUAUUGACAUGUUGCUUAAUCAAAAUUGAUUCUGUACUAUAUUACCACAUCAUAAACGCACUGCCUGCAGGCAGUGAAAGCUGAAGCACAAUUAAUUUAACCAGACUUUUUCACGCAGUGACAAGCUAAACUCUUCUGUCUUGCUCCUUUCCCUUUUUGUGGAGGUUUGGUUUUGGGGGAAAUGACUGCAAUUAUGUAAGUAGCAGCUUUGAAGAAUUCAAUCUGGGAUACAUACACAAUAGAAAGAGACUGUACACUAUUUAGAAUUACUAAUGUAUACCAUAUACUCUGAAAGAUAGCUAGAUAGCACAGAUUUUGUGUCCAUUAGAUCAAAUGAUUUUUUUUCUUCUUGACUUCUCAAUUUUAUUUACAUUGAAACUGACAGGCUUUUUAUUUAGAAUGAACAUAUGGUGCAAUGAUGGAAAAACAAUUCCUUCGAGCAAGAUCUGCCUAAAAACAAUAAAAUGUUGGGGGAAAUAAGUGACAUGAUUAUUUUUUCUUU